CGAAAACUUUCGUGAUGUGUCUUUCACUUUCCCUCCCCUCCUCCUCAACUUCAUUUAUUGUUUAUAGGGUUUCAUUAGGUUUUUAGUUGUACAAUCGAUCGUCCGCCGUCCGCCGUGGGCAACGACAAUAAAGAAUGGUUUGACGUCUCCGAUCUUGCAAAACCCCUUAAACUGCUGCAGUUGCAAUGAUGGAGAAGAAAAUGGACAUGCCAUUAGUACUCUUUUUUCUCCUCAGGCCCAUGCUUUUUUGCAACUUGCGUCUAGGCCCCAGGCAAAGCCUAUGCACCUUGAGUGCGCCUAGCGCCUUUUCCUAUGUGAUUCGUCGAUUUGUUUGUUUUGAAGUCACGAGAUUUUGAGGUGAUGGCAACAUGUAAUAAACCAAUUCAGAAAACUGGAGGCAAAAAACACCGAGUCCUUUGGUUGAAGAGCUUAAGCUGAUGUCAAAGAAGAAGUUGAAUACAGUGAGUUAGCUGAUGUGGCAAUACUAAGCGCAAGGAACGACCAUAAAGUGUGAUAUAUGAUUGCUAAGAAAGAUUUAACACAAGGAUCAUUUUACUUGCAGGAAGACUGUGAAAGACUUGGAAUUUUUAUUUAAGCAUCUGUUGGUUUUAAUUUUGUAUGUUUGGUAUAUAGACUUAGUUUGACACUUUUUAGACAUUUGUUUGUAAAAAAUGGAAUGUUUGAAACACUAGUGAACUUUAAGUGAAUUGAUAAUAAUAUGCUUUCUGCCAAAAGUUUGUAGCGGCAGACAAAAAA